CCUACGGGUGGCAGCAGUGAGGAAUAUUGGUCAAUGUGCGGGAGCCUGAACCAGCCAAGCCGCGUGAAGGAAGAAGGCGCCAGGCGUCGUAAACUUCUUUUGUCGGGGAACAAAGGGCGCCACGCGUGGCGUUGUGAGUGUACCCGAAGAAAAAGCAUCGGCUAACUCCGUGCCAGCAGCCGCGGUAAUACGGAGGAUCCGAGCAUUAUCCGGAGUGACUGGGUGUAAAGAGUUGCGUAGGUGGCAUAAUUAGUAGCUAGUGAAAUCUGGUGGCUCAACCAUUCAGACUAUUAGCUAAACUGUUAAGCUCGAGACCGUUAGGGGUAACUGGAAUUUCUAGUGUAGGAGUGAAAUCCGUAGAUAUUAGAAGGAACACCAAUAGCGUAGGCAGGUUGCUGGGACGGUUCUGACACUAAGGCACGAAAGCGUAGGGAGCAAACGGGAUUAGAUACCCCUGUAGUC
rnacentral:rRNA from 1 species